rnacentral:rRNA from 1 species
CUGGCGGCGUGCUUAACACAUGCAAGUCGAACGAUGACGAUGGUGCUUGCACCGUCUGAUUAGUGGCGAACGGGUGAGUAACACGUGAGUAACCUGCCCUCCUCUUCGGGAUAACCGCCGGAAACGGUGGCUAAUACCGGAUAUGAAUGUCUGCCGCAUGGUGGGUGUUGGAAAGAUUUAUCGGUGGGGGAUGGACUCGCGGCCUAUCAGUUUGUUGGUGAGGUAAUGGCUCACCAAGGCGAUGACGGGUAGCCGGCCUGAGAGGGCGACCGGCCACACUGGGACUGAGACACGGCCCAGACUCCUACGGGAGGCAGCAGUGGGGAAUAUUGCACAAUGGGCGAAAGCCUGAUGCAGCGACGCCGCGUGGGGAUGACGGCCUUCGGGUUGUAAACCUCUUUCAGCAGGGAAGAAGCGAGAGUGACGGUACCUGCAGAAGAAGCGCCGGCUAACUACGUGCCAGCCGCCGC